rnacentral:rRNA from 1 species
AUACGUAGGUGGCAAGCGUUGUCCGGAAUUAUUGGGCGUAAAGGGUGCGUAGGCGGUCUAUUAAGUCUGGUUUGAAAGCCCAUGGCUUAACCAUGGAUUGAGAUUGGAAACUGGUAGACUUGAGGACAGGAGAGGAAGGUGGAAUUCCACGUGUAGCGGUGAAAUGCGUAGAGAUGUGGAGGAACACCAGUGGCGAAGGCGGCCUUCUGGCCUGUGACUGACGCUGAUGCACGAAAGCGUGGGUAGCAAACAGGAUUAGAUACCCUGGUAGUCCACGCCGUAAACGAUGAGUACUAAGUGUCGGGGGAAACCUCGGUGCUGAAGUUAACGCAUUAAGUACUCCGCCUGGGAAGUACGGUCGCAAGACUGAA